rnacentral:snRNA from 1 species
AGACUCAUGUGGCUGAGGAGAGGCCCGGAUCCCCUAGGUGGUUUUCCCAGGCUGAGGCUCGUGCACUGCUUUGCCCCGUGCCCGCGCUGACCCCUGACAAUUCCCCAAAAGCGGGAGAUUCGACUGCGUCAUCUAAGGGGGUGGGGGGGGGGCGACGUUCGCGCUCUCCCCUG